rnacentral:rRNA from 1 species
AACGAACGCUGGCGGCAGGCCUAACACAUGCAAGUCGAGCGAGGACUUCGGUCCUAGCGGCGGACGGGUGAGUAACGCGUGGGAACGUGCCCUUUGCUUCGGAAUAGCCCUGGGAAACUGGGAGUAAUACCGGAUGAGCCCUUUGGGGGAAAGAUUUAUCGGCGAAGGAUCGGCCCGCGUUGGAUUAGGUAGUUGGUGGGGUAAUGGCCUACCAAGCCGACGAUCCAUAGCUGGUUUGAGAGGAUGAUCAGCCACACUGGGACUGAGACACGGCCCAGACUCCUACGGGAGGCAGCAGUGGGGAAUCUUAGACAAUGGGGGAAACCCUGAUCUAGCCAAGCCGCGUGAGCGAUGAAGGCCUUAGGGUUGUAAAGCUCUUUCAGCUGGGAAGAUAAUGACGGUACCAGCAGAAGAAGCCCCGGCUAACUCCGUG